rnacentral:rRNA from 1 species
GAUGAACGCUGACAGAAUGCUUAACACAUGCAAGUCAACUUGAACUUCGGUUUGGGUGGCGGACGGGUGAGUAACGCGUAAAGAACUUGCCUCACAGAUAGGGACAACAUUUGGAAACGAAUGCUAAUACCUGAUAUUAUGAUUUUAGGGCAUCCUAGGAUUAUGAAAGCUAUAUGCGCUGUGAGAGAGCUUUGCGUCCCAUUAGCUAGUUGGAGAGGUAACGGCUCACCAAGGCGAUGAUGGGUAGCCGGCCUGAGAGGGUGAUCGGCCACAAGGGGACUGAGACACGGCCCUUACUCCUACGGGAGGCAGCAGUGGGGAAUAUUGGACAAUGGACCAAGAGUCUGAUCCAGCAAUUCUGUGUGCACGAUGAAGUUUUUCGGAAUGUAAAGUGCUUUCAGUUGGGAAGAAAAAAAUGACGGUACCAACAGAAGAAGCGACGGCUAAAUACGUGCCAGCAGCCGCGGUAAUACGUAUGUCACAAGCGUUAUCCGGAUUUAUUGGGCGUAAAGCGCGUCUAGGUGGUUAUAUAAGUCUGAUGUGAAAAUGCAGGGCUCAACUCUGUAUUGCGUUGGAAACUGUGUAACUAGAGUACUGGAGAGGUAAGCGGAACUACAAGUGUAGAGGUGAAAUUCGUAGAUAUUUGUAGGAAUGCCGAUGGGGAAGCCAGCUUACUGGACAGAUACUGACGCUGAAGCGCGAAAGCGUGGGUAGCAAACAGG